rnacentral:rRNA from 1 species
GUAUGAAUGGCUACAUGAGGACCAAACUGUCUCCUUUGACUAAUCAAUGAAACUGAUCUCCUAGUACAAAAGCUGGGAUAAAAACAUAAGACGAGAAGACCCUGUGGAGCUUAAAACAAUAAUACUACUAACGGCCCCCCCCAAAAGGACUACACCACCCAAAAUAGUAUGCAUUUUUAGUUGGGGCGACUGCGGAACCAAACAAAACUUCCACGACACAAGGCCACCCCCUACCCAAGGUCAACAAACCAACGCACCACUUGACCCAGUAAUACUGAUCAACGAACCAAGUUACCCCAGGGAUAACAGCGCCAUCCUCUUCAAGAGCCCCUAUCGCCAAGAGGGUUUACGACCUCGAUGUUGGAUCAGGACACCCAGGUGGUGCAACCGCUACCAACGGUUCGUUUG